rnacentral:rRNA from 1 species
AGCUAAUACCGCAUAACGUCGCAAGACCAAAGAGGGGGACCUUCGGGCCUCUUGCCAUCGGAUGUGCCCAGAUGGGAUUAGCUAGUAGGUGGGGUAACGGCUCACCUAGGCGACGAUCCCUAGCUGGUCUGAGAGGAUGACCAGCCACACUGGAACUGAGACACGGUCCAGACUCCUACGGGAGGCAGCAGUGGGGAAUAUUGCACAAUGGGCGCAAGCCUGAUGCAGCCAUGCCGCGUGUAUGAAGAAGGCCUUCGGGUUGUAAAGUACUUUCAGCGGGGAGGAAGGGAGUAAAGUUAAUACCUUUGCUCAUUGACGUUACCCGCAGAAGAAGCACCGGCUAACUCCGUGCCAGCAGCCGCGGUAAUACGGAGGGUGCAAGCGUUAAUCGGAAUUACUGGGCGUAAAGCGCACGCAGGCGGUUUGUUAAGUCAGAUGUGAAAUCCCCGGGCUCAACCUGGGAACUGCAUCUGAUACUGGCAAGCUUGAGUCU